AGCUAGUAAAUAUCUCAGAAGGGAGAGCAGUUAACUUUACCCACUCUCUAAAAAUUAGAAUAGAUCAAACAGAAGUCAAUGAUUCCUGGAGAUAGCAAGAUAUAUUAGAACAGAACCAAAACAUUGAAAAAUAAAAGUUGAUGUAAGAUAUCUGAAAUCAAAAACAAAUCACCUGUAAAAUGUCAAGGAGAGACCAUUUAAGAAUCACUGGAUUCCUUGAAAACCAUGAAAAAAAAAGCCUGGAUGAUGCUCAUAUCUAUUAAAAUUAUAGGGCAAAGUGAACACAGAAAGGAUCUCCCAAUCUCUUCCUGAAAGGAACCCCGAAGGAAAAGUCCCAGGAAUGUCCAUAGCCAAAUCCCAGAACUUUCACAUCAAAGAAAAAAUACUGCAAGCAUCCAAGUAACUGACGUCAGGAUUGACUAUGACCAGGCAGCUUCUACUAUAAAUGAGAGAAGAUUUUAGAAUAUAAUAUUUUAAAAGGUAAAAAAUAUGAGAUUCAAACCAAGAGUAAUUUACCCUGCAAAGCUGAGUAUCAGCCUACAGGGAAAGAAAUGGAUCUUUAAUGGAAUAAAGGACUUUCAAGCAUUUCGGAUGAAAAGACCAGAGCUGCAGAGAGACUUUAAAAUACAAACACAGGACAAAAGAGAAACUUAGGAAAGUAAAUUUACUUGAGCAAUUGGAAUGACCUGUAUGAUGAUGCAGUGCUAAUAUCUAAUAAGAAGAAGAAACAAGCCUCUUGUCAGAACUUUAAUGUCUUCAUAGGGUGUGGAGGAGAGGGUGGAUUAGUUCUGUUCUGAAGGUUUUAAGAGAAGAAAGAGAAGGAAGAGUAAAAGGAAUACACACCAGUAUAGAAAGAAGGAAGGAGAAGAAAUGAGAGAAAAGAUGAUUCCAAAGAGACAUGGUAAGACCUGUAUGAACUGAUGCAGACUAAAAUGAGCAGAACCAAGACAAUAAUUUGUACAAAGACAGCAUUGAUGAGAGCAAGGGGAAGACAAAAGUACAGAAAGCUUGUCAGCUGGAAGGUGAGGAAACUAAGAUAGAAGAGAGAGGUUCAUCAGCUUGCCUGG